rnacentral:lncRNA from 1 species
AAACAUCGAUCAUUUAGUGCAGCUUUGAUGAAGUCCUAAGUUGUACGUAGCAACUACCUUGUGUCUCACUGGUAGAUGCUUAAAUGGUUUUAUAUCGUGGCGCUUAGUGGAAGGUGUUUAUGCUUCUUCUUUUUUCUAACUUAGCUAGGGUUUCCUCGAGAGUUAGAAACUAAUCUUUUGAGGUGUUUAAAUUUAUUUAGAGGUUUGUUUUUGCUUUCAUGUAUAGACUUAGGAUCAAACCACAUAUUUAACGAGAUAGGUUAUGCUUCUCUAUUUCUUUAAUUUACCCUUUUACUUGGUCGGAUGUUUAGUGCAUGUGAAAUCUUGCAUUUUAUUACUUUUUUUUAUAAAAAAAAAUUGGCAUAAAAAUUGAGCAAUUAUACACUUUCCAACUAUUGUAAUUGCCGAAAUUCAAGAGUGCUGCAUCAUGACAAUGACUCAUUUGUUUGACGGUGUCGAUCACUAGGAAUGUUUGAUUGAAUUAAUAUUAAUUUGUUUUGACGAAAAUAGCAAUGCAAUCCAUUUUUGGAAUUUCUCAAUUUUUCUUGCAGCGCGCAUCGGAUGCAACUCGAGAAAUAAAAAGUUCAAGCUGCAACUCAUGGUUUUGUUGAAUAUAUAUAUGUCAUGAUCCAUCUUUGGAACAAAAAAUACUCGGAUAUUGGGUCUUUGGUAGCCACAGAAGUUCUUCCUCGAUUUCUUCAAUUUAGCCCCUCAAGAAAAAUAAAUGUAAACGUAAUUUUUCUCUUUUGUACUCUCGCUCGCUCGCUUGGAAUUUUGUAUAUUGCAU